rnacentral:rRNA from 1 species
AGCGAACGCUGGCGGCAGGCUUAACACAUGCAAGUCGAACGCCCCGCAAGGGGAGUGGCAGACGGGUGAGUAACACGUGGGAACGUACCCCUUGGUUCGGAAUAACUUGGGGAAACUCAAGCUAAUACCGGAUAAGCCCUUAUGGGGAAAGGUUUAUUGCCGAAGGAUGGGCCCGCGUCUGAUUAGCUAGUUGGUGAGGUAAUGGCUCACCAAGGCGACGAUCAGUAGCUGGUCUGAGAGGAUGAUCAGCCACACUGGGACUGAGACACGGCCCAGACUCCUACGGGAGGCAGCAGUGGGGAAUAUUGGACAAUGGGGGCAACCCUGAUUCAGCCAUGCCGCGUGAGUGAUGAAGGCCUUAGGGUUGUAAAGCUCUUUUACCAGGGAUGAUAAUGACAGUACCUGGAGAAUAAGCUCCGGCUAACUCCGUGCCAGCCGCCGCGGUAA